rnacentral:rRNA from 1 species
UGAUCCCUGGCUCAGAACGAACGCUGGCGGCAGGCUUAACACAUGCAAGUCGAGCGCCCCGCAAGGGGAGCGGCAGACGGGUGAGUAACGCGUGGGAAUCUACCCAUCUCUACGGAAUAACUCAGGGAAACUUGUGCUAAUACCGUAUACGCCCUUCGGGGGAAAGAUUUAUCGGAGAUGGAUGAGCCCGCGUUGGAUUAGCUAGUUGGUGGGGUAAAGGCCUACCAAGGCGACGAUCCAUAGCUGGUCUGAGAGGAUGAUCAGCCACAUUGGGACUGAGACACGGCCCAAACUCCUACGGGAGGCAGCAGUGGGGAAUAUUGGACAAUGGGCGCAAGCCUGAUCCAGCCAUGCCGCGUGAGUGAUGAAGGCCUUAGGGUUGUAAAGCUCUUUCACCGGAGAAGAUAAUGACGGUAUCCGGAGAAGAAGCCCGGCUAACU